CUUUCAGCAACGGAUCUCUCGGCUCUCGCAUCGAUGAAGAACGCAGCGAAAUGCGAUAAGUAAUGUGAAUUGCAGAAUUCAGUGAAUCAUCGAAUCUUUGAACGCACCUUGCGCCCUUUGGCUAUUCCGAAGGGCAUGCCUGUUUGAGUAUCAUG
rnacentral:rRNA from 1 species